UCGAAUGCAUACAGUCCAAAA
ensembl:piRNA 21ur-4645 ncRNA